AGCAAAUGAAAUAAUACAAAACUGCACGAAACAAGUGGGCAAGGAACGAUCCAGGCAGUCAUUUUUCAUCGGUUCAUUUUUGGUUUCGGAACAAUGUCGCAUCCAGAAACUGAGAUAAACAUCAGGUCCUGGAUCGUUCGAUAAUUUUAUUGGCAACUGUCGAGCCGAUUCGAUCGUCUAGCCAAAUUAGUAGACAUUUGCGAAAAUAUUCUUGGCACACGGGAUUGAAGCGCAUUUAAUAAAUAUGUUAUCGAAAAACGAUAUUAUGAUCUACGUGACACGUCUGCGGCACAAACACGGAAACGUUCCAAAAUGACCAAUUUCCAAAAAAUGUUUACCAGUCAUGUGAUCACAUCGCCUUCGACUUGAAAAACAAUAUUUUUGAACAGGCACCACAUAUUUUCAAACCGAAGUAUUUGUUUAUCAGGUAUAAUUUACAGAGUGACAAUUUACAGAGAAUCCGAGAAAAAAUUAUCGGAACUUUUUCGGUAAUAAGUAUCAUUCUCAAUUCUAACAUUUUAAAUGGCCAGCCACUACUUGUGAAAGCUCGUUUGAAAGCCUGAGCUUGUAAAAAACAUUGUAUCAGGGUUCUUUUUUAAUUUAAAUUGCCUGCAAUUUUGCAAUCGUAAAGCAAAUUCGAAGAGCUCGUUGUCUUGCCACCCAGUAGAUUGCAGUUUGAGAACAAACCACCCAUAAAAAAGACCUCGUUUAAACCGAAUAAUCGUUCACUAUUAAAUAGGAUUCAAGUGAAAUAAUUGCUGUAUGCGCUUCAUCAGAUUUUUGCACAAACACUCUGAAAUUCGUUGUAAAUUGAUUGUUUCAUCUGCGCUGCACUUUGGAAAAAACACCAAUUGAAAAUCAGUAUAUUCCUAUUACUGAUCGAGCGAUUUCCUUGACUCCUAAUUGAAAAAUUAAUUGUCGGUAUGGUCGAGAAGUGCCGCAUAAUGUUGCGAUUAUAAUUGAUUUUAAACGCAUCAACUAAACGACUACAAUAUCGGUCAAUUGGCCUCAUAUAUCAACUGCAAACCGAUCAUGUGAUUCAUGCACACUUCUUAAUGGGCAUCAAUUUUUCAAUUUCACUAAUUGAACUCGAUUGCGUAAGUGCAGGAUUGUGGAAAAGUUUUCCAGUCUAACUUAACGUUGUUUUCUCGUAAAAUAUAUUUUUAAAACCACCUUGUACCAAAAUACAAAGUAUAUUGGCUAGAAUUGACUACGCCAUUACAUUUUCAAGCGCAAUUGGGACUUUUCCAACAAUUUUUUGAGACGGCACAUAUAAAGGUGCAAUAGACAGUGGCGUCACAACCAGGCCCAAAUAUCUACCGUGUAUUUUUAUUCAUCGUCAUCAAAGUGAAUUGGCUCCAAUGGACCGAUACGACUUAAAUUUACAUUUGGAAAAAAACAUUUUGCUAUUAAUUAUAUCAAAGAAUCGGUCUUUUUGUAUUGAAGUGUGCAAUUUUUGGUCUUUUUCAAGCCUUCAAAGAUAAACCUGCAGUUAUCCCGCAGCACAUUCCGCCUCCCACCUAGUGAAAGUGCAGUUUGAACUGGACACAACUGGACGUUUCCAAUUCCCUACCUACAAACAUGUUUAUAAGCUGGCGAAUUAAAUACACAUUAAACUAAGAAAACGC
rnacentral:lncRNA from 1 species